UGGAAGUGCACUGUGACCUUGAAGCC
rnacentral:piRNA from 1 species